rnacentral:rRNA from 1 species
UGGGGAAUAUUGGACAAUGGAGGCAACUCUGAUCCAGCAAUGCCGCGUGUGUGAUGAAGGCCCUAGGGUUGUAAAGCACUUUCAACGGUGAAGAUGAUGACGGUAGCCGUAGAAGAAGCCCCGGCUAACUUCGUGCCAGCAGCCGCGGUAAUACGAAGGGGGCGAGCGUUAUUCGGAAUUAUUGGGCGUAAAGGGCUCGCAGGCUGCUUGAACAGUUAGACGUGAAAUCCCCGGGCUCAACCUGGGAACUGCGUUUAAUACUAGCAAGCUAGAGAAAUAGAGAGGAAAGUGGAACUCCCAGUGUAGGUGAAAUUCGUAGAUAUUGGGAAGAACACCAGUGGCGAAAGCGACUUUCUGGCUAUUUUCUGACGCUGAGGAGCGAAAGCGUGGGGAGCAAACAGGAUUAGAUACCCUGGUAGUCCACGCCGUAAACGAUGUGUGCUAGAUGUUGGAAGGUUACCUUUCAGUGUCGCAGCUAACGCACUAAGCACACCGCCUGGGAAGUACGGUCGCAAGAUUA